ACGUAGGGGGCGAGCGUUGUCCGAAGUUACUGGGCGUAAAGCGCGCGUAGGCGGGGGGUUAAGUGGGAGGUGAAAGGCCGGGGCUCAACCCCGUGCAGUGCCUCCCAUACUGGCCUUCUUGAGGGCGGUAGGGAGAAGUGGAAUGGCUGGUGUAGCGGUGAAAUGCGUAGAUAUCAGCCGGAACACCGGUGGCGAAGGCGGCUUCUUGGGCCGUUCCUGACGCUGAGGCGCGAAAGCUAGGGGAGCAAACGGGA
rnacentral:rRNA from 1 species